rnacentral:tRNA from 1 species
GGGCCUGUAGCUCAGCCUGGUAGCUGCCGGUUGAAAAUCGGCUUGCUGGGCAGUUAGAGCGCCGCUCUGAUAAGGCGGAGGUCAUGUGUUCAAAUCACACCAGGCCCA